rnacentral:lncRNA from 1 species
CCCUGACCUGUAUAUUUGUUAUUUUGCCUAGGCACAAAUCUGAGUUACUCAGCCGCUACUGAGUGAACCCAGUGGAUGUAGUGGAUGGCCCAGUACCGACGUCCCAGGACGGCUGGCUGUUCUUUCCUGUUUAUGACAGACAUAGUAACUAAUAAGUGAUGUAAAACAUUCUUUGUAAAUAAAUGCUCUGUAUUCAUGACGCUGACCCUCUCAAAUGUCUAAGGAGGGACUCUCCAUGAGUGACAUGUUUUAUGUUAAAAGUAUUUAUUUGCAAUCAGGGACUUUGGUCUGUGGUGGCCAUUUCUAAAAGCUGUCUAACAUGUCUUUAAAUACCAUGCCCGGAAGUGGCUUCCUUUUAUGUAAGUCUCAGUUUCUGGUUCCUGGAAGUUGCUGAUUCCAACAGCACCUGAUGCCUACAAGUCAUCUGAGGGAUGUGUGGCCAAGAAUGGAUGACAACCACGUUUUACUGGGACACCAAAGCAAGUUGCAGUCUGAACUGCAGCCACACCCUGCAAUGGCCCCAAAGCAUGCAACAGAAACAGAAUUUGCACUUGAUUAUCCAGUGUGGUGUGGCUAUUUCCUGUAACACAGGUCCAGAGUUCCCAAAGCCUCUCUUCCCCAAUACUUCGGUAAGCAAGAAAAUUAACACAGGGACACAGGGAAAGGCAGAUCCAGACUUAGAACCAGAGUAAGUACUUAUCAGUUUUGCUCACACUAGUUCCAGACAAGUUUUGGCUUACUCCGAGACAAGGAAAGCUUCUAAAAGAGAGAUUAUUUUCAAGGCCCCCUGAAAGAUCUUGACCUUGCAUUAGGUAAAAGUUAAUUCAUUUCACAAGUCAUCCAAUCUAAGCAGUAAUUGUACAAAUACUGUAACAUACUCGAAUAAUUAGACUAUUAAUACUUCUGGAGGCUAAUCCUAAAGUUGACAAAGUAAUUCUGCCCAAUUCUAGAAUGAUGAUCUUGCCCAUCAUUGAAUCUGUUUGCAAGUCUACCACAGUCUAAGAAUUUGUCCAAAAUCUGUAAUGAAGCCUUGGUAUAGAUAUAUGAUACCUCUUAAGUAUUAAGAAUAGAGGUGAGGCGAGGUGGCUCAUGCCUGUAAUCCCAGCA